UACUUGUAGAACGACAGGAAA
ensembl:piRNA 21ur-15353 ncRNA